UACGUGGGGGGACACAUGGGAUACAUGGGGGGACACAUGGGAUUUAUGCGGGACGCAUGGGAUACAAGUGGGAUGGGACACGACACCCUCGUGUGAUGGGGGAGAUGUGACACCCACAUGUGAUGGACAUGGGAUGCUCAUGGGAUGUGGGAUGUCCACUGGACAGGGGAUGGCCAUGGGAUACCCAAGGGUGCAGAGUGUGGAAUGUGGGAUGCUCAUGCAACAUGGGAUGCACAUGGGAUGUGGGAUACGGGAUGACCAUGGGACAUGGGAUGCAAAUGGGAUGUGGGAUACGGAUGCCCAUGGGACAUGGGAUGCCUGCAAGAUGCCUAUGGGAUCUAAGCUACAGGCUGCCCAUGGGACAGGGGAUGGCCUAUGGGCUACCCACACCAUGUGGGAUACCCACAGGAUGUCGGCUGUGGGACGUGGAUGCCCACAGGACACAGAACACCCCCAGGAUGCGGGAUGCAGGGUGCACGAUGGGGGAUGCCCGUGGUACAAGAGCUGCACGCGGGAUGCCCGUGGGAUGCGGGAUGCUCAUUGGAUGCCCAUGGGAUAUGGAUGCCCAUGGGAUGUGGGUCCCUGGGCCCUCACCUGCUCUCCUCUCCCUCCAGCAGCUUCCUGUAGGUCGCGAUCUCAAUGUCCAGGGCCAGUUUGACGUUCAUGAGCUCCUGGUACUCACGGAGCUGCCUGGCCAUGUCCUGCUUGGCCUUCUGCAGAGCUGCCUCCAGCUCCUCCAGCUUGGCCCUGGCAUCCUUGAGGGCCAGCUCCCCACGUUCCUCAGCCUCGGCAAUGGCCGAAUCCAGGUUGGAUCGCUGGGACACAGGCACUGGCUGGGACCCCUGCACCCCACAGCCCCAUCCCAGCAUCUCCCUGCCCCAGUAUCCCCACAUCCCAGCAUCCCCGUGUCCCAGUAUCCAUGUAUCCCAGCAUCCCCUCUACUCCUGUAUCCCCCAUUCCCCACAGCAUCCCCAUGUCCAUCAGCAUCCCCUGUACCCCUGUAUCCCCCAUUCCCUGCAGC
rnacentral:lncRNA from 14 species